rnacentral:tRNA from 1 species
GGCUCUGUGGUGAAAUUCAUGUUGAGUUGCAAGCUCAUCGAUGUACGCUAAGGUGUGCCGGAGCCU